UACGUAGGGGGGCAAGCGUUGUCCGGAUUUAUUGGGCGUAAAGAGCGUGUAGGCGGCCAUACAGGUCCGUUGUGAAAACUCGAGGCUUAACCUCGAGACGUCGAUGGAAACCGUAUGGCUAGAGUCCGGAAGAGGAGAGUGGAAUUCCUGGUGUAGCGGUGAAAUGCGCAGAUAUCAGGAAGAACACCCGUGGCGAAGGCGGCUCUCUGGGACGGUACUGACGCUGAGACGCGAAAGCGUGGGAGCGACAGG
rnacentral:rRNA from 1 species